GCUCAAAUUUGAAAUCUGGCCUCUUCGGGGUCCGAGUUGUAAUUUGUAGAGGGUGUUUCGGGCGCGAUGCCGGUCUAAGUUCCUUGGAACAGGACGUCGCAGAGGGUGAGAAUCCCGUAUGCGACCGGCGAUCAAGUCUGUGUGAAACCCCUUCGACGAGUCGAGUUGUUUGGGAAUGCAGCUCAAAAUGGGUGGUAAAUUUCAUCUAAAGCUAAAUAUUGGCCAGAGACCGAUAGCGGACAAGUAGAGUGAUCGAAAGAUGAAAAGCACUUUGGAAAGAGAGUCAAACAGUACGUGAAAUUGUUGAAAGGGAAGCGCUUGCAAUCAGACCGGUCCGGAGGCGAUCAGCCGUCUGCUCGUUCAGCGGUGCACUCGCCUGCGAUCCGGCCAGCAUCGGUUUGGGCGGUGGGAUAAAAGUCCCGGGAAUGUAGCUUCUCUUGGGGAGUCUUAUAGCCCGGGUCGCAAUGCCGCCCGCCUGGACCGAGGACCGCGCUCGGCUAGGA
rnacentral:rRNA from 1 species